UCAAUCGGGGAACUAAUAACAUCUGUAGGGGAUACAAGUAAGUCAGGAUAAAACUGAAAUACUUGAAUCAUGCAGGGAAAAAUGAUUUCCCUAUGGAAAUGCUCACUCAACUCAACUGGGGAGAAAAUAAACUUCAACAUAGGAGGAGCAUAAAUCUAUUAUCUACUACCCAUUACUGGGUAAGGAGAUAAUAAAAAUCUGACAAGGAAGACAUCCGUCACCGAUUAGGAUGAACAUAUCAAUGAUGACUCGCUGGGAAACAACAGAAGGG
rnacentral:lncRNA from 1 species